rnacentral:rRNA from 1 species
GCACAUGCUGUGAGCUCGAUGAGUAGGGCGGGACACGUGGUAUCCUGUCUGAAUAUGGGGGGACCAUCCUCCAAGGCUAAAUACUCCUGACUGACCGAUAGUGAACCAGUACCGUGAGGGAAAGGCGAAAAGAACCCCGGCGAGGGGAGUGAAAAAGAACCUGAAACCGUGUACGUACAAGCAGUGGGAGCACGCUUCGGCGUGUGACUGCGUACCUUUUGUAUAAUGGGUCAGCGACUUAUAUUCUGUAGCAAGGUUAACCGAAUAGGGGAGCCGAAGGGAAACCGAGUCUUAACUGGGCGUUAAGUUGCAGGGUAUAGACCCGAAACCCGGUGAUCUAGCCAUGGGCAGGUUGAAGGUUGGGUAACACUAACUGGAGGACCGAACCGACUAAUGUUGAAAAAUUAGCGGAUGACUUGUGGCUGGGGGUGAAAGGCCAAUCAAACCGGGAGAUAGCUGGUUCUCCCCGAAAGCUAUUUAGGUAGCGCCUCGUGAAUUCAUCUCCGGGGGUAGAGCACUGUUUCGGCAAGGGGGUCAUCCCGACUUACCAACCCGAUGCAAACUGCGAAUACCGGAGAAUGUUAUCACGGGAGACACACGGCGGGUGCUAACGUCCGUCGUGAAGAGGGAAACAACCCAGAC